UGGGGAAUAUUGGACAAUGGGCGCAAGCCUGAUCCAGCCAUGCCGCGUGUGUGAAGAAGGCCUUUUGGUUGUAAAGCACUUUAAGCGAGGAGGAGGCUACUUGGAUUAAUACUCUAGGAUAGUGGACGUUACUCGCGGAAUAAGCACCGGCUAACUCUGUGCCAGCAGCCGCGGUAAUACAGAGGGUGCGAGCGUUAAUCGGAUUUACUGGGCGUAAAGCGUGCGUAGGCGGCUUCUUAAGUCGGAUGUGAAAUCCCUGAGCUUAACUUAGGAAUUGCAUUCGAUACUGGGAAGCUAGAGUAUGGGAGAGGAUGGUAGAAUUCCAGGUGUAGCGGUGAAAUGCGUAGAGAUCUGGAGGAAUACCGAUGGCGAAGGCAGCCAUCUGGCCUAAUACUGACGCUGAGGUACGAAAGCAUGGGGAGCAAACAGG
rnacentral:rRNA from 2 species